ensembl:snRNA U6 U6 spliceosomal RNA
UCGCUUCAGCAGCAUGUGUACUAAAAAUUGGAACCAUACAGAGAAGAUUAGCAUGUCACCUGUGCAAGGAUGAGAAACAGAUUCGUGAAGCUUUCCAUCUUGUA